GGUGCUGUGUCUGAGAACCAGUACCUGGAUGGUUCAGAAACCCAUGUCAAAGAUAUCAGUUAGCCCUUAGGAAGGGCCUAGAUAGUGAUGCUUAAGGGACCCUCCAGUGAAGAUUUCUCCUGCCAGUCAGAAUCUAUCCAUGCCAGUGCCCAACAGUAUCAAGGGAACAGAACCAAGUAUCAGGCAAUUAAAGGUAUACCUUUGAAUAUUGAAGUUCUAGUUUUAGCAACACAACUACCUGUUUGACAACCCUAUUGUGCCAAACUGUAAAUGGCUAGUAAAGUGGACACUGGAAGGACAUCAGUGACACCUCACAUUUCAAGGACGUUGCAAUUUAACUACCCUGCCCAUUUCUAAGAGAAAGAGAGAAAGCAAGCAAGCAAGCAAUCUGGCUAUUGUCCUAAUGGAUGAACCAUUGAAGAUGGAUGAACCAUUGAUCAAGACUUACUGUGCUUAUAAAACGGUUUAGUACAAGUUAACCUUUGCUUAAAUGAAACCUGGUUCAUCUCCAUAUGAUUAAUAAUAGAGAUGCCAAACAUGGCAUUUUUCAGAUUAUCAUGCAAAAAAAAAAACUCUGCUGCUCCAACAGUAUCUCAUAUUAGUCUUAUUAAAUCCUUGGAAGCAUGUCCUUUUAAUUUCCAAAUACCUAAUAUUUACUUUCCAAAUCCCACAUAAAUUUGAAAACCAAAUAUGCUUUCCAUGCAGUGUUAUAAAGCUGCUGGCACUGCAUCAAAUUGCUCAGCAUUAAAGGCAUCUGACCCCAUCAAUUCACUGGGGCGGGGGUGGGAGAGCUCCCUACCUGCUAAAUGAAGAUAUGUUGAGCUAGGAUUCAUGGGUGGUGUAACGGACUUGCCCCACCCUGAAGGGCUGGUGUGAAGCAGGCCUGCUUGAAAAGGCCUUAGUGACAGCCAGAGUUGAAGAGAAGGCUCUACUAUACAAAAGAACCCACUUGAUUGGUCGAGCAGAAGCACAGUUGCCUUUGGCCAGGGAUAGGGGGAGCUAAAGUGCUGGCAGCAUAAAUAGACAGAGCAGAGCCUGUCAGGGGUUUUUCACACUCUCUGAAGAGAUUCUGACACAGAGAUCAGAAGGAGCCAGAG